GGGAAGACAACAACCCAGGGCUGUUCUGUUUCUGACUCAAGAUAUUGGAGCAAGCUAUGCCUCUCCAUGGAGAUGAGGAAGCCUGCAGCCCCCGAAGGUCACGGAUGCUGUUGGAGCCACGAGGAAGAGCCAUCAGCCCAGGGAGACCCUGAGGGUCAGGGCAUCUCCAUGGAUGAACUCCGUGUACUGCUGGACUCAUCCAACCCUUCGUGGACAUCACUUUGUAGUGAAAAUCCCUUUUGUUGUUGAAGAAAGCCUGAGUUGGGUGAUUUAUUACUCAUAAAGUAUGUUAAUACCUUGAUGCUAAUAUUCUCAUGAGAGAAUUAUACUCUAGUCUUAUGAUAGCACUAAAAGUAACUUAAAGGCCCCACGCUUCUCCAGAUAAAACCAACACUUGUGAAACCCUUGCUUUGCCGUUUACUAUCUAUGUUCCUGGACAAACUAUUAAAUGUGCCGAGUCUACACCUCCACCUCAGUUUAGGAUCAAUAAUCUAUAUCUUUUCUUUUUCAGUUUCAAUACAUAAAAAUAAGUGCCAUGAGUAGUUCUUGUAACUGAAUAGGCACUUAAAAGUGAAAUUAGGCUCUUCAUUUCUCCUGCUUUCUUAUCGUACAUCUUUAUGAUACUUUAAUUUGAGCUACAACCCCUGAGAUCUUCUUGAGAGUUAAUCACUGCUGAGAGACAAUACAGAGACAGGACAAUAGACAGAUCGCAUGUGACGACAGAGCUCUGACCCACAACCUCUGCAGCAAUUGCUCCCCAACAAUGGGGACUUAGUGAAUAACUGCUACCUGCCCUAUUUAUGCCCCCAACUCAGGAACAGCAGGUCAAUCCAAUAUGCUUCUCUAAUACCCACAUAGUUCUCAUUCUU
rnacentral:lncRNA from 10 species